rnacentral:lncRNA from 1 species
UUAUAUAAGAGUUAUGAAUCAGCAGUAUGCGUAUAACCAUCACCAUUAGAAAAAACAACACAGAAAAGUUGUAGAUUUAUAGGUAUGUCUAUUUUUCUUCGUUAGUUCUUAUGAGUAUUCAUGAAGUUGUAUACUCUUGUUUAUUCGAAUUCUUACUCUGCUGUUAUUAAUCAUUUUGCUGCAAUAAAUAAUUAGAAAAUUAAGUUGUUCUACUGAGAUUAGAAUGAGAAAAAACGUGACAGAGAAGCUGCAUAAACGCCGCAUCAUCACUGAAGACGAUAGUAUCCUUUUCCCUCCCCAAGAAUGUAAUGAGGAAUUAAGAAUGAGGACAUUUUACUUUUGAGGUAUAGCACAGUUGGCACUACUUUCUUUCUUUCCAAAUAUUUGUUGCCUAAAGAUAAAUAGGUAAAAUAAAAAAAUUUAAAGUUAAAUUAUUUCUAAUUAUAAAAAUGUGUCAUUUUUUUUGGAACAGACUAAUAAGGAAAGUAUGUCAUCUAAAUUGAAACAGAGGGAGUACUAUAUUUCAUAAUACAGUUAUAUUUAUACAAUUUAACUAAUAUUUUUUUGGUGAAUUCAAAGAUGAAUAAAUUUUUAAUCAGACAAAGAGCGGGUUCGCAGAUUUAUUGAGGGUCUCCACCCUAGUAUCAGAUUCAGUAUGGCAUGAGAGCUAGAGAUAGACAUCACAUACCAACAGGUGGUGUCAAUUGCUAGGAGAUUCGAAGGUAUGCGUAUCCGGGAGAGGGAAGAGAGGGAAGCUAAGAGACCCCGAGAUUCUGGCACAUAUAAUAAUUCUCGUGCCCCAGCUGCAGCCCGUCAUGGAAGAGGUUAUGUGAGCCGUCCUAUUCAUUCAGCACUUCCAACUUCUAGUGGUAUUCCGGUUACUCCCAGACCUCAGGUUCCAUAUUAUGCACCGCCAGUGUCUUCUGUACCUCCUGUACGGGGUGCCUUCAACGGGCAGUCUAGUUGAUCAGGCCCGAGCCAGUCCCAGCAGCUACAUCCUCCGAGGUCUUGUUUUGAAUGUGGUGACACUCGUCAUAUAAUGAGGGAUUGCCCCAGACUUAGGAGGGGUGCACCUCCACAGAUUUCUCAGGCCUCACCCAUUCCACAGAGCCCUCAGGCUUCUCAGGCCAUGAUCACUGCACCAGUUUCUGAGUCCACUUGCACAACCAGCUAGAGGUGGAGGUCGGACAGGUAGAGGUCGCCCUGGGGGGGGGGGGGGUGUAGGCUAGAUAUUAUGCCAUUCCUGCUAGAAUAGAGGUCGUUGCAUCUGAUUAUGUUAUCA